rnacentral:rRNA from 1 species
AUGAUCAGGCAUGCGUACGACAUCCUGGAGCACGCCCUGGUGGAGCACGGCAGGAGGCUCGGGGUGCCGCGCGUACCCCGCCACAACUUCGGUCUCUGCUUCCGCGUGACGUGGGCCAUCUUGUCGCACUGGCCGACGGUGACGCUGCACUUCGAAUCCGAGCAGGACCUUGUGCUCACGCCGAAAAAGCUGUUUGUCCUGCAGGAUCAAGACAUGUGCCUCACCGUGAAACCGAACCCGCAGAUUACCGUCAUCGGCCCAGCGACGCAAGUGGGCACGCGCUUCGUCUACGACCUCGCCGCCAGCAGGGUGUACUUCGCCCCUGAAAACUGCAAUGCCGACACUGGCGUCUAG